UACGGGGGGAGCAAGCGUUGUUCGGAUUUACUGGGCGUAAAGGGCGCGUAGGCGGCGCAACAAGUCACUUGUGAAAUCUCCGGGCUUAACCCGGAGCGGCCAAGUGAUACUGUCGUGCUAGAGUGCGGAAGGGGCUACUGGAAUUCUCGGUGUAGCGGUGAAAUGCGUAGAUAUCGAGAGGAACCCCUGCGGCGAAGGCGGGUAGCUGGGCCGACACUGACGCUGAGGCGCGAAAGCCAGGGGAGCGAACGGG
rnacentral:rRNA from 1 species